AAGGCUAAAUACUCGUGAUCGACCGAUAGCGAACCAGUACUGUGAAGGAAAGGUGAAAAGAACCCCGGGAGGGGAGUGAAAUAGAUCCUGAAACCGCAUACAUACAAACAGUAGGAGCCUCGUUAAGGGGUGACUGCGUACCUUUUGCAUAAUGGGUCAGCGACUUACGUUUAAUGGCGAGCUUAACCGUAUAGGGGAGGCGCAGCGAAAGCGAGUUCGAACAGAGCGUUCAGUCGUUAGGCGUAGACCCGAAACCAGAUGAUCUAUCCAUGGCCAGGUUGAAGGUGUGGUAACACACACUGGAGGACCGAACCGACUAGUGUUGCAAAAUUAGCGGAUGAGCUGUGGAUAGGGGUGAAAGGCUAAACAAAUCUGGAGAUAGCUGGUUCUCCCCGAAAACUAUUGAGGUAGUGCCUCGUGUAUGACUCCAGGGGGUAGAGCACUGUUAUGGCUAGGGGGACAUGGCGUCUUACCAAACCAUGGCAAACUCCGAAUACUUGGAAGUUUGAGCACGGGAGACAGAGCACCGGGUGCUAACGUCCGGACUCAAGAGGGAAACAACCCAGACCGCCGGCUAAGGUCCCUAAUAUUGACUAAGUGGAAAACGAAGUGGAAAGGCUAAGACAGUCAGGAAGUUGGCUUAGAAGCAGCCAUCCUUCAAAGAAAGCGUAAUAGCUCACUGAUCGAGUCUUUCUGCGCGGAAGAUGUAACGGGGCUAAGUCAAUAACCGAAGCCGCGGAUUCACACUUGUGUGUGAGUGGUAGGGGAGCGUUCUGUAAGCCUGCGAAGGUGACUCGUAAGGGUUGCUGGAGGUAUCAGAAGUGCGAAUGCUGACAUGAGUAACGUUAAAGCGGGUGAAAAGCCCGCUCGCCGUAAGCCCAAGGUUUCCUGCUCUACGUUCAUCGGAGCAGGGUGAGUCGGCCCCUAAGGUGAGGCUGAGAAGCGUAACUGAUGGGAACAAGGUUAAUAUUCCUUGACCACCGCUGAAUGCGAAGGGGGGACGGAGUAUUGAAGAUCAUCCGGGUGUUGGAUAUCCCGGUUUGCGAGCGUAGGAGGCUGACAGGCAAAUCCGUCAGCGAAUCUCCGAGGCAAAGCAUCGAGCUCUCUUUUGAGCGAAGUGAUUGGAUGUGCUUCCAGGAAAAGCCUCUAAGCUCCAGUUCAGCGGGACCGUACCGCAAACCGACACUGGUGGGCGAGCUGAAUAUGCUCAGGCGCUUGAGAGAACUCAGGAGAAGGAACUCGGCAAAUUGACACCGUAACUUCGGGAUAAGGUGUGCCUUUGUAGCGUGGAGGGAGAAACACCCCGAGCGCGAAGAGGUCUCAGAUAAUCGGUGGCUGCGACUGUUUAUUAAAAACACAGCACUCUGCAAAGACGAAAGUCGACGUAUAGGGUGUGAUGCCUGCCCGGUGCUGGAAGAUUAAUUGAUGGGGUGCAAGCUCCUGAUCGAAGUCCCAGUAAACGGCGGCCGUAACUAUAACGGUCCUAAGGUAGCGAAAUUCCUUGUC
rnacentral:rRNA from 1 species